rnacentral:tRNA from 1 species
UGCCCCAUGGCUGAGUUGGUUACAGCGUCCGACUGUUAUUUACAUAAUAUCGGAAGGUCGUGAGUUCGAGCCUCACUGGGGCAG